rnacentral:tRNA from 1 species
GCCUCAGUAGUUUAAGAAAAACAUUUUAUUGCAAGUAAAAAAUUCGGUGAAUUCUGGUGUU